rnacentral:tRNA from 1 species
GCCCAAAUGGUGGAAUUGGUAGACACGCUAGUUUCAGGGACUAGUGGCUUCGGCUGUGGGGGUUCGAGUCCCCCUUUGGGUA